rnacentral:rRNA from 2 species
UGCAGUCGAGCGAACUGAUUAGAAGCUUGCUUCUAUGACGUUAGCGGCGGACGGGUGAGUAACACGUGGGCAACCUGCCUGUAAGACUGGGAUAACUUCGGGAAACCGAAGCUAAUACCGGAUAGGAUCUUCUCCUUCAUGGGAGAUGAUUGAAAGAUGGUUUCGGCUAUCACUUACAGAUGGGCCCGCGGUGCAUUAGCUAGUUGGUGAGGUAACGGCUCACCAAGGCAACGAUGCAUAGCCGACCUGAGAGGGUGAUCGGCCACACUGGGACUGAGACACGGCCCAGACUCCUACGGGAGGCAGCAGUAGGGAAUCUUCCGCAAUGGACGAAAGUCUGACGGAGCAACGCCGCGUGAGUGAUGAAGGCUUUCGGGUCGUAAAACUCUGUUGUUAGGGAAGAACAAGUACAAGAGUAACUGCUCGUACCUUGACGGUACCUAACCAGAAAGCCACGGCUAACUACGUGCCAGCAGCCGCGGUAAUACGUAGGUGGCAAGCGUUAUCCGGAAUUAUUGGGCGUAAAGCGCGCGCAGGCGGUUUCUUAAGUCUGAUGUGAAAGCCCACGGCUCAACCGUGGAGGGUCAUUGGAAACUGGGGAACUUGAGUGCAGAAGAGAAAAGCGGAAUUCCACGUGUAGCGGUGAAAUGCGUAGAGAUGUGGAGGAACACCAGUGGCGAAGGCGGCUUUUUUGGUCUGUAACUGACGCUGAGGCGCGAAAGCGUGGGGAGCAAAACAGGAUUAGAUACCCUGGUAGUCCACGCCGUAAACGAUGAGUGCUAAGUGUUAGAGGGUUUCCCGCCCUUUA